CCUGCACGCGGGAAGGAGGCUUGUGCCACGAUUCCUAAACCUGACCCUCAGAACUGCGAGGCAGACAUGCCAGCCACUACGCUUUAACAAUGCCGCCCCAUUUUUUGAAUUCAGCUGGAAAGCAUUGGAUUGUCUAUAGAUGGCGCUACUUAGCUGCUACUGAACAAGACAACUGACUCAUGAAUAAGGCUUACAAACUUGCAUAAUACCAUCAUGGGCCACUUGGAUCAAGCUGCGGCUUUGUAACUAGUGUACAAACGGUGUCAUGUCCAUCCAUGCACGUUUUUUUGUUUUUGUUUGUUUUUUGUCGAGUGAUUUGAUUGUGCAGACUGUCCACUGUCCCUACACAAUGACUCCCAUUGAAUCCUGAAUCAAGACAAUAAAACGAGAGAAAAAUGGCACUCGCAAAUGAGUUCAAGAAAUACAGAACCCCCCUGUGUUGGUUCACAUUCACCCCGCUGCCUUCCCGCACCCUCGCAGCAGCAGCACACGUCCUCGGACACCUGUUUCUCCGGCUCUUUCAGCUCGCACAGGAAUUAGCAUCUCAAAUGGGAGGGGGGGGGGAAUUCCCACAGUGCCAUUCAUUGCGCCUCACUUUGCGCCGUUUAACGUCACGUUUACAUGUCCCUGAGUGACAAAGAUCAGCUGCACCCCUGUCUGAAGGCCCCACGCCCGCCUUCAAAUCAAACAUCGAUCACGCACGCAAGUUACAUUAUAUGAACUGAUCCCACGCUGCUUGUCAGCCACGUGAACCACUGCGCCAUCACGGAAAGAUUUGCCGUCGUGAAUAGCAAACAGGUUGAACAUUGACGAUCAUUGCUCAGGAUCAUCUUUGGCAUUUUGACAAUCGGGCCUUUGCUAACUUCUCGGCACGCUAGCCAUCUCCAUGUGCGGCGGCAUUCGUCAUCAAAGGGUGAGUGUUUCUAACUUCUUUUUACACUUGUGCCAUCUUAUAGUGUAAUAUAGGUCAACGCAUGAACUAAGUGACUCACCUUCAGCAAUCCUUCCUCUUUCUACAGGCUACUACGUGUCAUCAAACGCUCAGGGUGGACGGCCAAUAUUGGGAGAAGCGGUGACCAUAUGUGUGAAGUGUCUGGGAGAUUAAAGUCUGCGCGUGGUUGUACGUGAUUCUUCUUCGCUUCGGCUCCCCGUUUUGUUUUUUGUUUUUUUUUGUUUGGGACAGGAAGUGAGCGCUAACCGCAAACACCGACCCAACACUUCACCUGUGUAAACAAGCUCAAUGGAUACAUGUUGCUUCUGAAUGCAACUUUUGUCACGAGACAACAAGUGGAAAAGCAGGAAGGUUGCUAUCAACACAGUCUCCCGGCCAACCGCCAAACAGAAGCUGGACCACCAUGACUACCCCCCCAAACCAGUAAGGCUCCAUCGUUAACGGCGACACGUCGCUUCCGAAGCUGCGGAAGGAGACCGGCUUUUCGAGAGAGACUCCGGAUCUUGGUCUUAAUGCCAGUGUCUCAAUAAGCACAAAGCGUCCCUUCAUCCCUUCAUCUCCGGCCUUCUCUUCAGAUCUGAAAAGGAGGCUCUGUGACCUGUGGCAUGCCCAAGAUGCUGAAGAGGCUCAGCUGCACUCGCUUGGUUGGUGGCAGGUAAAGAAAGCCGUGCACAGUGAUACCCAACAUACAAAAGAUAAGUCAGUCAGUGAUUGCUGACCACCGUAGCUGCGGAAAUGAUCCAAUUCCGUUAAAUUGCUCCGAAAAUGACUUUCUUUAUGACAAAGUAGCUUUGUUCAUCGAUCUUUGCCAGUGAUAU